rnacentral:rRNA from 1 species
GUUCGACAAGUCGGGUGUUAAACCCCCAGGCUCAACCUGGGGCCGCCACCCGAAACUGUUGUGACUAGAGUUUGGUAGGGGAUCACGGAAUUCCUGGUGUAGCGGUGGAAUGCGCAGAUAUCAGGAGGAACACCAGUAGCGAAGGCGGUGAUCUGGGCCAAUACUGACGCUGAGGAGCGAAAGCGUGGGGAGCGAACAGGAUUAGAUACCCUGGUAGUCCGCGCCGUAAACGGUGGGCACUAGGUGUGGGGACUUUUCAACGGUUUCCGCGCCGCAGCUAACGCAUUAAGUGCCCCGCCUGGGGAGUACGGUCGCAAGACUAAAACUCAAAGAAAUUGACGGGGGCCCGCACAAGCAGCGGAGCAUGUGGCUUAAUUCGAUGCAACGCGAAAAACCUUACCUAGAUUUGACAUGCUGGGAAAAGCCACAGAGAUGUGGUGUCCUUCGGGGCCCAGCACAGGUGGUGCAUGGCUGUCGUCAGCUCGUGUCGUGAGAUGUUGGGUUAAGUCCCGCAACGAGCGCAACCCUUGUUCUAUGUUGCCAGCGCGUAAUGGUGGGGACUCGUAGAAGACUGCCGGGGUCAACUCGGAGGAAGGUGGGGACGACGUCAAGUCAUCAUGCCCCUUACGUCUAGGGCUGCACACAUGCUACAAUGGGCGGUACAGAGGGCUGCUAAACCGCGAGGUGGAGCCAAUCCCUAAAACCGCUCUCAGUUCAGAUUGCAGGCUGCAACUCGCCUGCAUGAAGUUGGAGUUGCUAGUAAUCCCGGAUCA